rnacentral:misc_RNA from 1 species
AAGUCGUAACAAGGUUUCCGUAGGUGAACCUGCGGAAGGAUCAUUAAUGAGUUAGGGUCUCCGGGCCCGAACCUCCAACCCUCUGUCGUUAUACAAAACCCUUGUUGCUUCGGCGGGACUCGGUGGCAGGCCCUCACGGGCCGCGCCGCCGCGCCGGGUUCUCAGGACCCCGGGAUCGCUCCCGCCGGAGUCAAACCAAACUCCUGUUUUAACAGUAUCGUCUGAGUAAAUUGAUAAUCAAUCAAAA